rnacentral:rRNA from 1 species
GCAACACGUACAGGUGUGGCAAGGAUGGAAAUCGGACAUAAGGCUCCGGGUGGUCGGCGUGGAAGGGCCAUCGCUCAACGGAUAAAAGCUACCCUGGGGAUAACAGGCUUAUCGCCCCCAAGAGUCCACAUCGACGGGGCGGUUUGGCACCUCGAUGUCGGCUCAUCACAGCCUGGGGCUGUAGUAGGUCCCAAGGGUUGGGCUGUUCGCCCAUUAAAGUGGUACGCGAGCUGGGUUCAGAACGUCG